rnacentral:tRNA from 1 species
UCCCUGGUGGUCUGGUGGCUAAGACUCUGAGUUCCCAAUGCAGAGGCCCAGGUUCGAUCCCUGGUCAGGGAA